UACGGGGGGAGCAAGCGUUGUUCGGAUUUACUGGGCGUAAAGGGCGCGUAGGCGGUCGUGACAAGUCACUUGUGAAAUCUCCGGGCUUAACUCGGAACGGUCAAGUGAUACUGUCGGACUAGAGUACAGAAGGGGCAACUGGAAUUCUCGGUGUAGCGGUGAAAUGCGUAGAUAUCGAGAGGAACACCUGCGGCGAAGGCGGGUUGCUGGGCUGACACUGACGCUGAGGCGCGAAGACUAGGGGAGCGAACGGG
rnacentral:rRNA from 1 species